rnacentral:rRNA from 1 species
GAUGAACGCUGGCGGCGUGCCUAACACAUGCAAGUCGAACGAAACUGAUUUCAUGAAACUUCGGUAGAUUGGAUGAAAGUUGAGUGGCGGACGGGUGAGUAACACGUGGGCAACCUGCCUCACAGAGGGGGAUAGCAGUUAGAAAUGACUGCUAAUACCGCAUAAGCGCACAGGACCGCAUGGUCUGGUGUGAAAAACUCCGGUGGUGUGAGAUGGACCCGCGUUUGAUUAGCUAGUUGGUGGGGUAACGGCCUACCAAGGCGACGAUCAAUAGCCGACCUGAGAGGGUGACCGGCCACAUUGGGACUGAGACACGGCCCAAACUCCUACGGGAGGCAGCAGUGGGGAAUAUUGCACAAUGGGGGAAACCCUGAUGCAGCGACGCCGCGUGAGUGAAGAAGUAUUUCGGUAUGUAAAGCUCUAUCAGCAGGGAAGAAAAUGACGGUACCUGACUAAGAAGCCCCGGCUAACUACGUG